rnacentral:rRNA from 1 species
CAGUCCGCCGCGGUAAUACGUAGGGUGCGAGCGUUAAUCGGAAUUACUGGGCGUAAAGCGUGCGCAGGCGGUUCGUUAAGACAGAUGUGAAAUCCCCGGGCUUAACCUGGGAACUGCAUUUGUGACUGGCGAGCUAGAGUAUGGCAGAGGGGGGUAGAAUUCCACGUGUAGCAGUGAAAUGCGUAGAGAUGUGGAGGAAUACCGAUGGCGAAGGCAGCCCCCUGGGCCAAUACUGACGCUCAUGCACGAAAGCGUGGGGAGCAAACAGGAUUAGAUACCCCUGUAGUCCCUGUCUCUUAUA